rnacentral:pre_miRNA from 1 species
CAGAUACUCCCUCCAUCCCAAAAUUCUUGUCUUAGAUUUGUCUAAAUACGGAUGUAUCAAGUCACGUUUUAGUAUUAGGUACAUCCGUAUCUAGACAAAUCUAAGACAAGAAUUUUGGGACGGAGGGAGUAACUG